GACUCACGCGGGAAUCUUACCGGGUCCGGACACACUGAGGAUUGACAGACAAAUAUAGAAAUUUUAUAUUUCUCAUAUAUAAAGAUGCUAGUUCUUUCAUGAUUAUGUGAUAGGUGGUGCAUGGCCGUUCUUAGUUCGUGGAGUGAUCUGUCUGCUUAAUUGCGUUUCAAUUUUUAUUAUGUAUACGUAUGACCCACGUUUACGCGUGCGAGUCUAGUAUGCUAUCAUUUGAAAGCAACGAACGUGACCGUAUCCUUUUAUUAUAUACGCACGCGUAUAUUUAUUCAUUAAAGGGACCGCUGUUUCUUUUUUUAAACCAGAGGAAGGUUACGGCAAUAACAGGUCUGUGAUGCCCUUCGAUGUUCCGGGCUGCACACGUGCUACAAUGAUUAUUUCAUUAAGUAUCUACUAUACUGCACAUUAUGUGUAUUAAAACCUACCCUGAGAAUGGGCGGGUAAUCAAUUAGAAGUAAUGAUUUCCUUUUUUUUAUACGCAACUAUGUACCGUAUAUUACAUCCCAUAAUAUUUUUUUAUUAUGCGUGUGUGUUUUAUUACCGUGUACGCGUAAUUGUUAAUUCAUGGUGGGGAUAGACCAUUGUUAAUUGUUGGUCUCGGUCUUAACUAGGAAUGCCUUGUACGGGUCAUUGGUUCAACAAACCACCCGGAAUACCUCCCUGCCCUUUG
rnacentral:rRNA from 1 species